UGGGGAAUUUUGGACAAUGGGCGCAACCNUGAUCCAGCCAUGCCGCGUGCAGGAUGAAGGCCUUCGGGUUGUAAACUGCUUUUGUACGGAACGAAAAGUCUCUUUCUAAUAAAGAGGGAUCAUGACGGUACCGUAAGAAUAAGCACCGGCUAACUACGUGCCAGCAGCCGCGGUAAUACGUAGGGUGCAAGCGUUAAUCGGAAUUACUGGGCGUAAAGCGUGCGCAGGCGGUGAUGUAAGACAGUUGUGAAAUCCCCGGGCUCAACCUGGGAACUGCAUCUGUGACUGCAUCGCUGGAGUGCGGCAGAGGGGGAUGGAAUUCCGCGUGUAGCAGUGAAAUGCNUAUAUAUGCGGAGGAACACCGAUGGCGAAGGCAAUCCCCUGGGCCUGCACUGACGCUCAUGCACGAAAGCGUGGGGAGCAAACAGGAUUAGAUACCCUGGUAGUCCACGCCCUAAACGAUGUCAACUGGUUGUUGGGAAUUCACUUUCUCAGUAACGAAGCUAACGCGUGAAGUUGACCGCCUGGGGAGUACGGCCGCAAGGUUG
rnacentral:rRNA from 1 species